rnacentral:miRNA from 1 species
UUUUUGGUAUAAGUAUAUCCUGGGCAAUAUUGGGACAUGCUUAUACUAAAA